UGAACACCUCAAAUAGACCAUAUGUAUCAAACACUCACCAUACAUACACCACACAGUGCUACACACUAUCCACACUACACAUACACACAUCACACAUGUCACACAAACACACCACAUACAUAUACUACAGAAACACAUGACACGAAACACAUACACACACACACCAGAACAGUUAGGGUAAGCACUCAGACUCGUGGAUGCCAGCGAACCCAGGUGUGCCAGCCUCGUCUAUGGAGAAAGAUGUGGAGAUGAA
rnacentral:lncRNA from 1 species